rnacentral:rRNA from 1 species
GACGAACGCUGGCGGCGUGCUUAACACAUGCGAGUCUAACGGAAAGGCCCUGCUUGCCGGGUACUCGAGUGGCGAACGGGUGAGUAACACGUGGGUGAUCUGCCCUGCACUUCGGGAUAAGCCUGGGAAACUGGGUCUAAUACCGGAUAGGAGCCAUUUUUAGUGUGAUGGUUGGAAAGUUUUUUCGGUGUAGGAUGAGCUCGCGGCCUAUCAGCUUGUUGGUGGGGUAAUGGCCUACCAAGGCGGCGACGGGUAGCCGGCCUGAGAGGGUGGACGGCCACAUUGGGACUGAGAUACGGCCCAGACUCCUACGGGAGGCAGCAGUGGGGAAUAUUGCACAAUGGGCGCAAGCCUGAUGCAGCGACGCCGCGUGGGGGAUGACGGCCUUCGGGUUGUAAACUCCUUUCGCUAGGGACGAAGCUUUUUGUGACGGUACCUAGAUAAGAAGCACCGGCUAACUACGUG